CCUACGGGUGGCAGCAGUGAGGAAUAUUGGUCAAUGGACGCAAGUCUGAACCAGCUAUGCCGCGUGCAGGAAGACGGCCCUAUGCGUUGUAAACUGCUUUUGUACGGGGGUAAACGCAUAUACGCGUAUCUGUCUGAAAGUAUCGUACGAAUAAGGAUCGGCUAACUCCGUGCCAGCAGCCGCGGUAAUACGGAGGAUUCGAGCGUUAUCCGGAUUUAUUGGGUUUAAAGGGUGCGUAGGCGGACGGUUAAGUUAGAGGUGAAAGCUCGAGGCUCAACCUCGGAAUUGCCUCUGAGACUGGUGGGCUAGAGAGUAGUAGAGGUAGGCGGAAUGUAUGGUGUAGCGGUGAAAUGCUUAGAGAUCAUACAGAACACCGAUUGCGAAGGCAGCUUACCAAGCUACUUCUGACGUUGAGGCACGAAAGUGUGGGGAGCGAACAGGAUUAGAUACCCCAGUAGUC
rnacentral:rRNA from 1 species